ACAAAAAAAAGAGAGAGGAACUUCACAUUGCUUUGGGCAACCCAUGAGUGAGAGAGAGAACCAAGAGAGGGAAGGAAGCAAUUUCAGCUCAAGAAGAAGGAAAACUAAGGAAAGAAAAGCUAGAAAAGAUGAGAAAUGGAAAGAGGAGCUCAAGGUUUGAAAGAGAAGAAGAAUUAUAAAACUUAAGGUGAUCAGGCGCGCGACCAGGCUUGGAGGCAUCUGCCUAGAAUCUGUUUUUGUCAGCCAGCCUAUGUGCCUCCCGUGGAGGUUCCGAAUAUGUCAAGUGAUUAUGGCCAUAUGAUUUAAAGUUUAAGUUUUGUUUUCGUGUUUGGUUGAACAAGUCUUGCGUAUUUU